UACGGGGGGGGCAAGCGUUGUUCGGAAUUACUGGGCGUAAAGGGCUCGUAGGCGGCCAACUAAGUCAGACGUGAAAUCCCCAGGCUCAACCUGGGAACUGCGUCUGAUACUGGAUGGCUUGAAUCCGGGAGAGGGAUGCGGAAUUCCAGGUGUAGCGGUGAAAUGCGUAGAUAUCAAGAGGAACACCUGAGGCGAAGGCGGGUUGCUAGGCUGACACUGACGCUGAGUGCGCGAAAGCCAGGGGAGCAAACGGG
rnacentral:rRNA from 1 species